UACGGGGGGUGCGAGCGUUGUCCGGAAUCACUGGGCGUAAAGGGCGCGUAGGCGGCCUUCUAAGUCGAACGUGAAAUCCCCGGGCUCAACCCGGGAACUGCGUCCGAUACUGGAAGGCUUGAAUCCGGGAGAGGGAUGCGGAAUUCCAGGUGUAGCGGUGAAAUGCGUAGAUAUCUGGAGGAACACCGGUGGCGAAGGCGGCAUCCUGGACCGGCAUUGACGCUGAGGCGCGAAAGCCAGGGGAGCAAACGGG
rnacentral:rRNA from 1 species